rnacentral:rRNA from 1 species
AGAGUUUGAUCCUGGCUCAGAUUGAACGCUGGCGGCAUGCCUUACACAUGCAAGUCGAACGGCAGCGCGGGGCAACCUGGCGGCGAGUGGCGAACGGGUGAGUAAUAUAUCGGAACGUACCCUGGAGUGGGGGAUAACGUAGCGAAAGUUACGCUAAUACCGCAUACGAUCUAAGGAUGAAAGUGGGGGAUCGCAAGACCUCAUGCUCCUGGAGCGGCCGAUAUCUGAUUAGCUAGUUGGCGGGGUAAAAGCCCACCAAGGCAACGAUCAGUAGCUGGUCUGAGAGGACGACCAGCCACACUGGAACUGAGACACGGUCCAGACUCCUACGGGAGGCAGCAGUGGGGAAUUUUGGACAAUGGGCGCAAGCCUGAUCCAGCAAUGCCGCGUGAGUGAAGAAGGCCUUCGGGUUGUAAAGCUC